rnacentral:rRNA from 1 species
CGGUGGAGCAUGUGGUUUAAUUCGAUGCAACGCGAAGAACCUUACCUGGUCUUGACAUCCACGGAAGUUUUCAGAGAUGAGAAUGUGCCUUCGGGAACCGUGAGACAGGUGCUGCAUGGCUGUCGUCAGCUCGUGUUGUGAAAUGUUGGGUUAAGUCCCGCAACGAGCGCAACCCUUAUCCUUUGUUGCCAGCGGUCCGGCCGGGAACUCAAAGGAGACUGCCAGUGAUAAACUGGAGGAAGGUGGGGAUGACGUCAAGUCAUCAUGGCCCUUACGACCAGGGCUACACACGUGCUACAAUGGCGCAUACAAAGAGAAGCGACCUCGCGAGAGCAAGCGGACCUCAUAAAGUGCGUCGUAGUCCGGAUUGGAGUCUGCAACUCGACUCCAUGAAGUCGGAAUCGCUAGUAAUCGUGGAUCAGAAUGCCACGGUGAAUACGUUCCCGGGCCUUGUACACACCGCCCGUCACACCAUGGGAGUGGGUUGCAAAAGAAGUAGGUAGCUU